GGCGUGAACGGGCCAACACUGUGAUGGACAUCUCUAGAAAAAGACUUGAAAAAGAGUCAGAGAUAGGGACUAAGAAGUGCAUGAAAGUGCGCUUGCAGCGCGCGCGCACACACACAAUAUCCAACCACAAAGUACAAUAAAUGACUUGCUGCUUAGGUGUGCAACAAUGAGCAGCGAAGGCACAGAUUUUGAAGGCUAUUGGAAAACACGAGGAAAUGCUCACAAAAUAAUAUUCCAUGAAAAAGGGCUAUAAAACCGCAUAUACCGAAUGAUCACAAUUUCCAAAGAAAAAAACUGCAUAUUUUAAAAUUUGGACGGGAAAGCUAACAGGCUAGUGGUGUGAUAACUGGUGGUAUAAAAGUGCUUCUUUAUUUGGUUAUACAGCUUUCAAAUGUUGCUUAACGAACAGAUAGCAUUUUUGUAAACAGAGGAAAGACUCAGUAUUAAAGUGCACGUCCCAUCAUUGCAACCUGGCCCUCGGGCAGCCAGCUCUCUCUGGCCCCGCGUCCGGCUUUCAGGUCCGGGAGCCCGGCCUCCCCACCUUCUCCCGGCGCGGGCCCCGCUCCUUUUCCGGCCGCCCUCGCCCCGCCCCUUCGCCUCUCCCCGCGCUCCCUCUCUCGCUCACGGAAGGCGCUUUUCGCGAAGGCCCGGAUUUUUACAGCACUUCGCUUUUCUAACCCGGAAGAGUGCACGUUUGUUCGCAGGGCCAGCAAGGAGAGCCCCGCCCCGCCCGCCGCCUUUGGAGCCCUCGGACUCUGCCCGGCCCGGCCUCCCCAGGCAUGGCGCCGCUGCGCUUCUCCGCCAAUCUGUCCUGGCUGUUCCCCGAGCUCCCCGGCCUCCCCGCGCGGCUGCGGGCCGCGGGCAGCUCGGGCUUCGAGGCCGUCGAGGUGGCCUGGCCGUACGCGGAGCCGCCUGAGGCGCUGGCGCGCGCCGCGCGAGAAGCGGGGCUGCGGCUUGUGCUGAUCAACACGCCCCCGGGUGCGCCGCGGGCCGGGAGGCUGGUGGGGGACGGGACGCGGGCAGGGGAGUGCCCGAGUCGGGGGCUGAGGCCCGUUCUCUCUGCAGGAGACCAAGAGAAGGGGGAAAUGGGGCUGGGGGCCGUCCCCGGGAGACAGGCGGCCUUCCGAGAGGGGCUGGAGCAGGCCGUGCGAUACGCCAAGGCCCUGGGCUGUCCCAGGAUCCACCUGAUGGCUGGCCGAGUACCCCAGGGAGCUGAUCGAAUAGCAGUCAAAGCUGAGAUGGAGAUCGUUUUUCUGGAGAACCUGAGGCAUGCAGCUGGGGUUUUGGCUGAGGAGAACCUCGUGGGACUGCUGGAGCCCAUCAAUACCCGCAUCACUGACCCCCAGUACUUCCUGGACACGCCCCAGCAGGCGGCAGCCAUCUUACAGAAGGUGGGAAGACCCAACCUCCAAUUACAAAUGGACAUAUUCCACUGGCAGAUCAUGGAUGGGAACCUGACAGGAAACAUCCAGGAGUUCCUGCCCAUUGUUGGGCAUGUGCAGGUGGCACAGGUCCCAGGCCGAGGGGAGCCCAGCAGCCCCGGAGAGCUGAAUUUCCCCUAUCUGUUUCAACUGCUGGAAGAUGAAGGCUACAAAGGCUUUGUGGGCUGCGAGUAUCAGCCUCGAGGCUGGAGUGCAGUGGCCAUUAACAGGCAUGAUCACAACGUACUACAGCCUUGAACCUUGGCCUGAAGCAAAAUCCUCCUACUUCAUCCUCCUGAGGAGCUGGGACUAAAGAAAACUGAAUCUCAAGACUGGUAUGACAGUGACCUGCCUCCUACUCUGUCAGUGAAUGACAGUAUAUACAACUGAUAGUGUGCAACCGCAUGUGUUAGUAUGAAGUGAGCUUCUGAUGCAACAGCCCUGUCUAAGUGGGUGAGCAGCUGCAGCCAUUCACUGCUGCCAGUGUAGCACCUGGAUGAUGCACAGACAAGCUCAUGGACAACUGUAAGUAAGUGAUUCUGAUGUAGUAGUUUUCUGUCAUGCUUCCCCUAAACCCCAUCUUUGUACCCUCACCUGCCACACUGUCCUGCCUGGAUCUGUGACAUUCUCUGGACCCCAAGGACCUCUUGACUU